rnacentral:rRNA from 1 species
AACAGGAUUAGAUACCCUGGUAGUCCAUGCCGUAAACGAUGAGUGCUAGGUGUUGGAGGGUUUCCGCCCUUCAGUGCCGCAGCUAACGCAUUAAGCACUUCGCCUGGGGAGUACGACCGCAAGGUUGAAACUCAAAGGAAUUGACGGGGGCCCGCACAAGCGGUGGAGCAUGUGGUUUAAUUCGAAGCUACGCGAAGAACCUUACCAGGUCUUGACAUCUUGCGCUAACCUAAGAGAUUAGGCGUUCCCUUCGGGGACGCAAUGACAGGUGGUGCAUGGUCGUCGUCAGCUCGUGUCGUGAGAUGUUGGGUUAAGUCCCGCAACGAGCGCAACCCUUGUUACUAGUUGCCAGCAUUUAGUUGGGCACUCUAGUGAGACUGCCGGUGACAAACCGGAGGAAGGUGGGGACGACGUCAGAUCAUCAUGCCCCUUAUGACCUGGGCUACACACGUGCUACAAUGGCCGGUACAACGAGCAGCUAACCCGCGAGGGUGUGCAAAUCUCUUAAAGCCGGUCUCAGUUCGGACUGCGGUCUGCAACUCGACUGCACGAAGUCGGAAUCGCUAGUAAUCGCGGAUCAGCAUGCCGCGGUGAAUACGUUCCCGGGCCUUGUACACACCGCCCGUCACACCAUGGAAGUUUGCAAUGCCCAAAGUCAGUGGCCUAACCAUUUUGGAGGGAGCUGCCUAAGGCAGGGCAGAUGACUGGGGUGAAGUCGUAACAAGGUAACC